rnacentral:rRNA from 1 species
UCUGGUUGAUCCUGCCAGUAAUAUAUGCUUGGAUGAAGGAUUAAGCCAUGCAAAUGUAAGAAUAAGUCGGUUACGACAAAUCUGUGGAAGGCUAAGUAAAAAAGGGAGAAAGAAAGAGGGGGAGAAAAUUGUGGAUAAUGAGAGGAAAUCUCUCAAUAAUACAAAAAUUGUAGCAAUGUAUAAAUGAAUAGACUUGCUACUGAUAAGCUGGGUAACCAGCGACCCCUCAUCUGACUCUUAUGUAUCAAUUAGACUUUAGGGUAAUGGCCUAAAGUGAUGAUAACGCAUACAGAGAAUUAGGGUUCGAUUCUGGAGAGGGAGCAUGAGAGAUGGCUACCACUUCUAAGGAAGGCAGCAGGCGCGCAAAUUGCCCAAUGUGGAAAUCACGAGGCAGCGAACAUCAAUAACAAUGAGAGACUGAAUAACAGUUUUUCAAUUGGAAUGAGAUAUGAGAAGAGAAAAAAGCGAGAAACAAGUGGAGGGCAAGUCUGGUGCCAGCAGCCGCGGUAAUACCAGCUCCACAAGCGUAUAUUAAAGCUGCUGCAGUUAAAACGCUCGUAGUUGUGGUUUCGUUAGUGGAGCGGUCUGUGUCUCAAAAAGACGCGGGCAGCUCUGCUAGUUACAAUCUAGUGUGUGUGUUAACUCAUUCAUACUAAGUAAACCUUGAAGAAAUAUUGACGCUUAAAAUUUGACUUAAGUCAAAGUUCUUUUUGCAUGGGAUUUUGGAAUAUGAGUGGUGGAGUAAAAUCCGCUGCUAAUGACAUUCGAGGAUGAAAGAGGAAGUUAAUAUUUGUGAGUCAGAGGUGAAAUUCUUGGAUUUCACAAAGAUUAACUAAUGCGAAGGCAUUCUUCAAUUGCUUUCCUGUCAACCAAGAACGAAAGUAAGGGGAUCGAAGACGAUCAGAUACCGUCGUAGUCAUUACAGUAAAUUUUGCCGACAAAGGAAACGGGAAAGACCUAGAAUGCGCCGGGCAACUGGUACAUUUAAUAUCCUCCUGUUUUCUCCCACGAAAGUUUAAGUCUUUGGGUUCUGGGGGGAGUAUGUUCGCAAGGCCGAAACUUAAAGGAAUUGACGGAAAGGCACCACCAGGCGUGGAGCCUGCGGCUUAAUUUGACCCAACACGGGAAAACUUACCAGGUCCAAACAGCGUGAGGAUUGACAGAUUGAGAGCUCUUUCAUGAUUCGUUGGGUGGUGGUGCAUGGCCGUUCUUAGUUGGUGGUGCGAGCUGUCUGGUUGAUUCCGUUAACGAACGAGACCUUUGUGAGAUAAUAGUUGAAUCAAGAUGUUGCGUCAAGGCUGGAGCUCACGUAUUGGGGAAGGAUCCGUUCCUCCCUUUACUCUGGGUUUCAGUUGCAAUCUAGAUUACAACUUCUUUCUCAGAC